AAAUUAGUGUUAAUAUAGGUGUUUGGUUUUUUUACUAUUUAAUUAUCGCGUGUGUAAUUUUCGUAAUUGUAAAUUUUGCGUGUUUAGUUUAUUCGCUUGUUUGUGUUUCGAGUCCGUUGCCGUCGGGCAACGGCCGGCGAUAUUUUGUGAACGCGAAUAAUUAAUUGACUUGUGCAAAUAAAUAAACAUAUUUAUCUUCAGCAGUUGAGCAUGGACUAAUGUGAUACCUGUGUCUAUCAACCUGCUGUCGAUUUACCGUCUUCUAUAACUGCAAACGUGUUCGCAUUCGACAUGAGAAUUGUGUUUGUUUUGAUUACAAAGUUACACUUUCUUAUCGCCGUUCGAACAGCAACGUCCAAGAUUGCCGUGUGUUGUUGUUGCCAUCUUUUCACGUCUCGCUCUGCUGGUCUUCUAGUUUAGUAUACGCUAGUAAAGUAUCUACCUUAAGCGCCGCC